UAAUUUAAAAAAAAAAAAAAAAAAAAUCAUUGAUGAUUUUGUUGAUUUUCGUUUUGUGUAAAUUUUAAAUAUUUGUCAAACACACGUUAUCCGGAACAGUACUAAACCUCCCAUCGAUAUGUUAUAAAUAUUUAUAUACGUGUAUUCAUGUGCCGUUCAUCAUCGAUAUUAUUGUAAUUAUUGAAAUGUUUUUAGUGACGGAAAAGGAAAAAUAUUUAUAGAGAAUUUUAUCGCGUAUUUUUAAGUUUGAUUGGACAUUCAAUAUUAUUAUUAUGUAUAAUUAUUAUAAAAAAAAAAAAAAAAAAAUGUAAUUCGAUACGCGUUGAAAUAUAUGUUAUUACCUACCUAUAAUUAAUUAUUAUUACGAUUACGACGGGUAAACCGAAAAGUAUUUAUUUCUUAGUUAGACAACGGAGACGUUCAAGUGUUAAACAAGAUUAUACACCAUACGAUUAUUGUUUAAGUAUGAUAUUUGUUACGGUUUAAUACUCGACGUUUGUAUAUUGUGUUGUAAUAUUGAAAUAAAAACUGUGGUGCAUAAAAAUCACCGUUAUUUCGCGUCGUGUAUGAUAUUUUAUACGAACGCGAUGAAGAGAGGGGAAAAAUCGGUAACGCGACG